rnacentral:tRNA from 1 species
UCUCUUGUAGCUCAGCGGUAGAGCAGCCCAAUCGGUGGGUGUGUCGCAGGUUCGAUUCCUGCCAGGUGAU